rnacentral:rRNA from 1 species
UACGUAGGGGGCAAGCGUUAUCCGGAUUUACUGGGUGUAAAGGGAGCGCAGGCGGUAUGGCAAGGUCAAGAUGUCGAAAACCCAGGGCUCAACCCUGGGACUGCAUUUGAAACUGCCAUACUGGAGUGCCGGAGAGGUAAGUGGAAUUCCUAAGUGUAGCGGUGAAAUGCGUAGAUAUUAGGAGGAACACCAGUGGCGGAGG